CCCUGGGAUAGCUCAGUUGGCAGAGCGUGAGACUCUUAAUCUCAGGGCUGUGGGUUUGAGCCCCACGUUGGGCA